UGAAAAUGAUACUUUUUGAAGUUCUUGAAAGGCAUUAAGAAGUUAGACGAACAUGAAUUCGUGACACGCUGUAUAGAUAACAACUUCUUUUUAUUCUUUAUACGACGUUUCAGAC